UACGUAGGGUGCGAGCGUUGUCCGGAAUUAUUGGGCGUAAAGAGCUCGUAGGCGGUUUGUCGCGUCGACUGUGAAAACUGGGGGCUUAACUCUCAGCUUGCAGUUGAUACGGGCAGACUUGAGUUCGGUAGGGGAGACUGGAAUUCCUGGUGUAGCGGUGAAAUGCGCAGAUAUCAGGAGGAACACCGAUGGCGAAGGCAGUGGUCUGGGCCGAUACUGACGCUGAGGAGCGAAAGCGUGGGGAGCGAACAGG
rnacentral:rRNA from 1 species